UAAAGUAUGCAUCCCUGUAGAAACACAAUACAAAUCAAUGAUUUUGAAAGUCUUCAUACAAGAUUAAGUGAUUUUAAUGUUACUAUUUUAUUUUAUUUUAUUUUUUUCCAAAUAAAAUAAAAUCUUACAAACAGUAGUAUUGAGUUGAGAUAUUUUAUGAUGUCAUUGAUGCACAUUUACACUUGUGCAAUUAAUGACAAUACUUAAAAAUUACAAAAAAUGCUAAAAGAAUAAAGAAACUUUCAUAUUAUUUUCUAAAGUAAUAGGUAAAUGUGAAGUUAUAAAUAUUGAUUUUGCACAUGUUGUAUUUAUAAAACAAUAAAUUAUAAAUAAAUAUAUGUACUCUUUAAACAAAUGAAAGUGAAUUAUUUUUUGGGAAAAUUACGAAAAUUUCCCUUCAAAAUAUCUGAAAUUAAUCAUGUUACUCUUCAAUGUCACAUAGGUUAUAUUUAUUAUGACUAUGUGCUAUAAUGCAAUUUUUUUUAGUAUCUGAAUUCAAAAAUACAUUCAACAGACUCAUAUCAUUUGUCCAUCAAUUGAUCUGUUUGGAUUCUACAUUAUGUGAGCCUUUUUUUUUUUUUUUUUUUUUUUUUUUUCCCUUCUAUGCUGAAAGAAUAAUUAAGUACUAAUCUAAACAAACAAAUGAAGAGUGAUGUGUGAACUCCCAAAGUGUGGACAAUUUUUUUGUAAAUGAGAACAAGUAACUUGGAAGUAGUAAUGAAUUUUGUUAUUUUUUAUUGAUAUUAUCAUUACCUUAGUAUUUUUAUUCUUUUGAUUCCCAAGAGGGAAUUAAAUAGGGUUCCCGCUCUUCCCAACUUGAAUUGGGUGCUUUCAUUGUGUUUUUUUCCCUCCUUUGCCGUUUAUAACCAUUGU
rnacentral:lncRNA from 1 species